rnacentral:rRNA from 1 species
CAGGCUUAACACAUGCAAGUCGAACGGUAGCAGGAGAAAGCUUGCUUUCUUGCUGACGAGUGGCGGACGGGUGAGUAAUGCUUGGGAAUCUGGCUUAUGGAGGGGGAUAACGACGGGAAACUGUCGCUAAUACCGCGUAAUAUCGAAAGAUUAAAGUGUGGGACCUUCGGGCCACAUGCCAUAGGAUGAGCCCAAGUGGGAUUAGGUAGUUGGUGGGGUAAAGGCCUACCCAAGCCUGCGAUCUCUAGCUGGUCUGAGAGGAUGACCAGCCACACUGGAACUGAGACACGGUCCAGACUCCUACGGGAGGCA